UACAGAGGUCUCAAGCGUUGUUCGGAUUCAUUGGGCGUAAAGGGUGCGUAGGUGGCGCGGUAAGUCGGGUGUGAAAUCUCGGAGCUUAACUCCGAAAUUGCAUUCGAUACUGCCGUGCUCGAGGACUGGAGAGGAGACUGGAACUCAUGGUGUAGCAGUGAAAUGCGUAGAGAUCAUGAGGAAGACCAGUGGCGAAGGCGGGUCUCUGGGCCGUAACUGACGCUGAGGAGCGAAAGCGUGGGGAGCGAACAGG
rnacentral:rRNA from 1 species